rnacentral:rRNA from 1 species
GGGGUGCUCGAGUGGCGAACGGGUGAGUAACACGUGAGUAACCUGCCCUUGACUUUGGGAUAACUUCAGGAAACUGGGUCUAAUACUGGAUAUGACCUUUCUCCUUAUGGGGUUUGGUGGAAAGUUUUUCGGUGUAGGAUGAGCCCGCGGCCUAUCAGCUUGUUGGUGGGGUGAUGGCCUACCAAGGCGACGACGGGUAGCCGGCCUGAGAGGGUGAUCGGCCACAUUGGGACUGAGAUACGGCCCAG